CACAUUUCUUCUCUGGAUAGUUCCCCACCGCCACAACACAAUCUCCCCCGUUACCCAUUCUCUCCAAAGCCGGCGCUCCCUGGUCAGGCAGCCCCCUCCCCUUCGUCACAACAGUCGGCGCUCCCUGGUCAGGCCGCCCUCCCCUUCGUCAUCAGCAUCAGCGCUCACUGGCAGGCCGCCCCUCCCCUUCGAAUCAGGUCGCGGAAGUGGCCGAGGAGGCCCUCCAGGUUGGCAUGCUCGUGCCAGCGCUAGGCACUGUCGGAUGCUGACACGGAGGCGCGGACUCGCACGCCCUACUCUACCCCGCUCCUUCGAAUCUGGCCCCGAAGUGCUCGAGGAGGCGCUCGAGCUCGUCAUACUCGCCGGUGACGUCGGGCCCCUCCAUCCUCCUGAUGCCCUCGCUGUCGCUGCCAUGAGCCUCUCCACCCUCUUCCACGCAAUCGUCCGGGUCCAGGUUGUUGCCCCUUCUGGUUGUGAAUGGACCUGAGGGUUAACAUGAUGCAGUAUCUUUUCGAAAGAUGAUACAUUAUAUUCAUAUAAUAAAAGAAAGGAAGUUGGAGAAGUUAUUAUUCAAGAGGAAUUCAGUGGCAUGUGGUUCUCAAGAGAUAAAAUGGAACAAGAAGUGCAACUCUCAUGCCUACACUAUCUAAUCAGCCCUUGAUGGUUCAGAUUUCCCAAAGGAGAAGAAGGAGGUGCCGAAAGAGGAUGGGAGAUUCGAAGAUGGAAUCAGUUUUCUUCACCCCAUGGGAGAAGUUAGAAGUGGUAUUCUCGGGAGUUCCCACCAACUGGUUUGAUGUAUGUUGGAAUAGGUUGUCGAUUGUACUGAAUUGGGGGUUCUCAUCCAGUGACAUUUGUGUGAGUGUCAGUCCUCUUGAAUUCCAUUACAUCUGGUACGCAUCAUUUCUGUGCAACCAAUCAGACUCAUUGUCCACAUUGUCUCUGUUGACAUGAACGGAAUUUGGUACUGCACCCCCUGCACUUGUUAUGUUCUGUAGUUGUGUGACUGCAGAUUGUCCGGUAGCCGGCACUUGUGUUACAAUGUUACUGCCAUCAAGGACGGCAGCAAUAUGCUUAUUUUGCUCACGGGCUUGUUGUUGUCGCUUAAUAUUUCCUCUCUAUUUUGUGCAUACUGCUCCCUUUACAUCCGAUUCUUAAUCUCAUUACGGCCUGAGUAGAUGAAGAAUAGAUCAUUAUACAACAAUAUAAUUGGGCCAUGUAGGAUGAAGUUCAUCUUCAUUACCUUGUGAUACACCCAGUUGUGUUUGUGCCCCACUGAUCUCGGCAAAGGCAAUUUUCUCCUGUUUGUAGGCCUCACGCCGUCUCUUAUUAAUCUCAUCCUUAUUUUGUGCAUACCACUCUCUAUCCCUCUGCCUUUUUUACUUCUUUAGUGUCUGCAAUCAAUGGCACAAUCCAACAGUUGAGCUUAAAAAACUAAAAUUGGGUGCUUGUGUGUUUCUUAUAUCCUGGAACAGGGUGCGCGUCCCAUUGGGAUUGGUCGGGGCCAUACAAAGUCCUUCAACCAUGUGAAUGUCAAGAAUGUUAUCACACAAUUGUAUGGUAUAAUUCAGUAGUUCAGCUUAAAAACUGAAAUUGGGUGCUUGUGUAAUACUCAUCACCCAAGGAUUGGGUGUUGCUUAUAUCCUGGAACGGGGUGCGCGUCCAAUUGGGAUUAGUCGGAGCCAUACAAAGUCCUUCAACCAUGUGAAUGUCAAGAAUGUUAUCACACAAUUGUAACGGAAGGAAUAGUAUUAGCACAACGUAGACAGAGCACAGUUUUAUGUUCAA